rnacentral:ncRNA from 1 species
AUGUCAAAGGCAAAGCAGCUGAAAAGCUGUGACGCAAAGCUACAGGGCCUGAGAAUGGCAGCCAGCUGCUG